UACGUAGGGUGCGAGCGUUGUCCGGAAUUACUGGGCGUAAAGAGCUCGUAGGUGGUUUGUCGCGUUGUUCGUGAAAACCGGGGGCUUAACCCUCGGCGUGCGGGCGAUACGGGCAGACGUUGAGUACUGCAGGGGAGACUGGAAUUCCUGGGUGUAGCGGUGGAAUGCGCAGAUAUCAGGAGGAACACCGGUGGCGAAGGCGGGUCUCUGGGACGUGACUGACGCUGGAGACGCGAAAGCGUGGGGAGCAAACAGG
rnacentral:rRNA from 1 species